GGAUUAGAUACCCUGGUAGUCCACGCCCUAAACGAUGUGCACUAGGUCGGGGCGGUUUUGACGCCGUCCUGGCCGGAGAGAAAUUGUUAAGUGCACCGCCUGGGGAGUACGGUCGCAAGGCUAAAACUCAAAGGAAUUGACGGGGGCUCACACAAGCGGUGGAGCAUGUGGCUUAAUUCGAAGCAACUCGAAGAACCUUAUCCAGGGCUUGACAUGCACGGAUUAGUUUCCCGAAAAGGAAAUGACGCUCUUUGAGUGGAACGUGCACAGGUGCUGCAUGGCUGUCGUCAGCUCGUGCUG
rnacentral:rRNA from 1 species